UCUCAGUUGGUGAACCAGCGGAGGGAUCAUUAUCGAGUUUAUAACUCCCAAACCCUAUGUGAACUUACCACUUGUUGCUUCGGCGCGCGCUUCGGUGCCGCCGAGGACACUUAAACUCCUUGUUUUUAUAAGCAUUUCUGAGUGGCCGAAAGGCAAAAUACAAAUGAAUCAAAACUUUCAACAACGGAUCUCUUGGUUCUG
rnacentral:misc_RNA from 1 species